CUUAUUUCAAUUACACCAGAAAAAAUUAUUUUAUAUAUGAAAUUAAAUAGUUGAAUAGCCACUACAACAGAAUUAGGUUAUAUGGACACAUAUUUGGGACACUUUUGAGUAAGUGUCCCAUUUAUGCUAAAAUUUUAAAAAAUAUCUACUAAUGCUUAAAUAUAAAGCCCAAUCCAACUAAAAAUAAAAAUUACUCUACUCAACCCACCACACCCAGUCCAUUUGACCCGAUUACAAACAGAAAAGAAAAAAAAAAGAAAAAUCAAUUAUCAUCUUUUCUUCUCUCUUCACUCAAUCCACUAAAAUUCUAGACGAAGAGCCUUUCCUGUCGUCCUCCUCCGUCACCGCAGCAAACGAGAUAGAGUUUCGGCGGUUGCUAAAUGCUUAAAUAAGUGUUGGUAAAUUAGCAACACUCUUUUAGGUUAUAGCGACACUCUUUAACUGUCACUAUAUACCUAGUGACCCCACAUAUAGCAACACUUUUUAAAAGUGUCGGUAAUUUUAGCUAGCAGCACUUUUUGACAUGUAUAUAUAUAUAAAAGUGUCGCUAUAAACCGUUUUUGUUGUAGUGAGAAACGGAC
rnacentral:lncRNA from 1 species